GCCCGGGUGGCGAAACUGGUAGACGCAAGGGACUUAAAAUCCCUCGGUGGCAACACCGUGCCGGUUCGAUUCCGGCCCCGGGCA
rnacentral:tRNA from 1 species